rnacentral:rRNA from 1 species
AGAAUCAACGCUGGCGGCGUGCCUCAGACAUGCAAGUCGAACGCGAAAGGUUCCUUCGGGAACCGAGUAGAGUGGCGCACGGGUGAGUAACACGUAGGUAAUUUGCCUUUGGGUGGGGAAUAACUCAGGGAAACUUGAGCUAAUACCGCAUAAUGCAGCGGCUCGACAUCGAGACAGUUGUUAAAGCGGGGGAUCGCAAGACCUCGCGCCUGAAGAGAAGCCUGCGGCAGAUUAGCUAGUUGGUAGGGUAAUGGCCUACCAAGGCAACGAUCU